CAGUAGCCGCGGUAAUACGAAGGGUGCAAGCGUUACUCGGAAUUACUGGGCGUAAAGCGUGCGUAGGUGGUUGUUUAAGUCUGCUGUGAAAGCCCUGGGCUCAACCUGGGAAUUGCAGUGGAUACUGGGCAACCAGAGUAAGGUAGAGGAUAGUGGAAUUUCCGGUGUAGCAGUGAAAUGCGUAGAGAUCGGAAGGAACAUCUGUGGCGAAGGCGACUAUCUGGGCCAUUACUGACACUGAGGCACGAAGGCGUGGGGAGCAAACAGGAUUAGAUACCCCCGUAGUCCCUGUCUCUUAUAC
rnacentral:rRNA from 1 species